GGUCGCGGCGGCGGCGGUGGCAGCGCGACCGAGCAUCCCGGGGGCGCCGGGCCACCACGAGAGAUUAAUUGGAGACACGUGGAAUUAGGCCUGGCUGUGGAGACUUCAUUUUCUUCUUCGUACCUGACCAUUUAUGAUGAGGUGGCUUAUGAAAGUGUGAUGGUUGCUUAUUUCCUCACAGGCACUUUGGAAGAAGAAAGGUGUUGAAUGAGCAAGCAGCAACGUGGGAAGUGAGGCCAUAGUAAACACAGGUGUGAAGGAACUAUUUGCCAUGGAAGCCAGGGAGCUGGAGAGCCGCACACCCACAUACCAUCUCAUUCCUGAGGCCAGCCGGCCCAGGGAGGAAGAAGAUGUCAGCAUGCUACCUCAGCAGUCCACAGAAACUAUGCAGCUGAAGAAGGAGAUCUCUCUGCUGAAUGGGGUCAGCCUGGUGGUGGGCAACAUGAUCGGCUCAGGAAUCUUUGUCUCACCCAAGGGCGUGCUGGUCUACACUGCCUCCUAUGGGUUGUCGCUGAUCAUAUGGGCCAUUGGUGGGCUUUUCUCCGUUGUGGGUGCCCUUUGCUAUGCAGAACUGGGGACCACCAUCACCAAGUCUGGGGCCAGCUACGCUUAUAUUCUAGAGGCCUUUGGGGGCUUCAUUGCCUUUAUCCGCCUCUGGGCCUCCCUGCUAAUUGUUGAGCCCACCAGUCAGGCCAUUAUCGCUAUCACCUUUGCCAACUACAUCAUCCAGCCCUCCUUUCCCACCUGCGAGCCCCCGUACCUGGCCUGCCGUCUCCUCGCUGCAGCCUGCAUGUGUCUGCUGACGUUUGUGAACUGUGCCUACGUCAAGUGGGGCACACGUGUGCAGGACACAUUCACUUACGCCAAGGUCCUGGCACUCAUUGCCAUCAUUGUCAUGGGCCUUGUUAAACUGUGCCAGGGACACUCUGAGCACUUUCAGGAUGCCUUUAAGGGUUCCUCCUGGGACUUGGGAGACCUCUCUCUCGCCCUCUACUCUGCCCUCUUCUCUUACUCAGGUUGGGACACCCUUAAUUUUGUAACAGAAGAAAUCAAAAACCCAGAAAGAAAUUUGCCCCUGGCCAUUGGGAUUUCUAUGCCGACUGUGACACUCAUCUACAUCCUGACCAACGUGGCCUAUUACACAGUGCUGAGCAUUUCAGAUGUCCUUGGCAGUGAUGCUGUGGCUGUGACAUUUGCUGACCAGACAUUUGGCAUGUUUAGCUGGACCAUUCCCAUUGCUGUUGCCCUGUCCUGCUUUGGGGGCCUCAACGCAUCUAUCUUUGCUUCAUCAAGGUUGUUUUUCGUGGGCUCCCGUGAGGGCCACCUCCCGGACCUUCUCUCCAUGAUCCACGUUGAGCGUUUUACACCCAUCCCGGCUUUAUUGUUCAAUUGCACCAUGACACUCAUCUACCUCACUGUGGAGGAUGUCUUCCUGCUCAUCAACUACUUCAGCUUCAGCUACUGGUUCUUUGUGGGCCUGUCUGUCGCUGGACAGCUCUACCUUCGCUGGAAGGAGCCCGAGCGGCCCCGGCCUCUCAAGCUGAGCCUGUUUUUUCCCAUCGUGUUCUGCAUAUGCUCCUUGUUUCUGGUGGUUGUGCCCCUCUUCAGUGACACCAUCAAUUCCCUCAUUGGCAUCGGGAUUGCCCUCUCUGGGGUCCCCAUCUACUUCCUGGGUGUUUAUCUGCCAGAGUCCCGGAGACCACUCUUUAUUCGGAAUGUCCUUGCUGCUAUCACCGAAGUCACCCAGAAGCUUUGCUUUUGCGUCCUGACUGAGCUAGAUGUAGCUGAAGAGAGACAGGUUGAGAGGAAAACUGAGUAGAGGCCAGAGGUGAUAUCCCCUGAGGCCUGGAAGGCCGCUACCUGUGGCCACAGCCACCGAAGUCCAGAUGACAGGACUGUGUGGACCCAACUCUCUUAUACUCAAGGAGGGCUGUUGGCCCGCAUUAUGUAAGGGGGCUCAGGGCUGAUGGCCUGCUCAGGUGGUCACUCUCAUCGGCACCAGGCUUUUUUUACACUGAGCCACCUUGGUGUGGAUCAUCGGGAUAAUGCACUCAUCUCCUGCCUGCCUCCCCUUGCCUGAGGCCUGGUGGGGCUGCAGUCUCAGGAAGAGCUUGGUACUUUGGAGACUUCUAUUUUCUCUCUGUGGAGAUCAGUGAGGACUCUGGAAGUAAAGCUGCUUCAACCUCCAUCAGCAGAUUCAUGAUCGGAAGCAACUAAUUCUGGCGCUCAGGCUGUGCUUUAGCACCCAGGUCUGGCCAAAGGGGUAGGUUUGCCCUAAUGGAUGUUCCUUCAUGGGCCACAUGGCUGCACUGGAUUGGACAACUGUCCUGUGAUGAUUCCAGACACUGUCAUCCUGGACCCAGAAGAACCUGCUGGCUUGGUAUGCCCCAUGGGCUUCUUGUCCUUAGGUUUUGAAAUUGGUCAAUGAUAAAGAUGGGAACUAUGAGGCAAUCUACCUUUCUGACCAUUCUUCUCCACCAAACCGGCCCCAGUUGCAGACAAGGGACUAACCUUGGUCACACUUGCUCAAUAAAGGCAAUUUAGGGGAGCAUGCUCACAGCUGCCUUUUGUUCAGGGCAUGCAUGCAUCUGUGAGAACAUGGGAGUACAUUCCUACUGUCAUGGGUUGGGGAUUUGCCUGACAACAGGGAGUCUUGUGCAAAGGCUGACUUGCCCAGACUGUGUAAACAUGACUCCUGUCUGACCCAAUCUGGCACCUAUCCCAGGGAUCCUCUGGAGCUAAUCCUUCAAGCAGACUGCACUUGUCUUUGAAGGAUCCCUGACCCAGGCUUUAGUUUUCUCUACUGAAGUAAAUGACCAGCUGAUCUCAGGAACUUGUUGCCUCGCAGUGGCUCCAGGGGGAAGCAAGGCCCUCACACUCCAGGUGCCCUAGUACUUGCUUAGUGAGCCAUGUCACCCCCCUCUCAUUACUGGAUGGUGACCACAUUCUUCCCCUCUGUGCUGGAUACAGACUUCUCCCAGGAAGCCUUCUGAGGGAGGGAUGCCAGAGACUCCUUACAGCACUCAGGCUUCCUAGUGGAAUUAAUUUCUGCGAGGUCUUUGUUGUUUAUCUCCUUCAAUCCUUCUCCUGGUGUGCUAAUCCCUUUUGCAGUAGGUACAGUUUGUGAAGCUGUCAGCCCUUUAAUGUUGGCAAACUGUAAAUGAGUACAGAAACAGCAGUGAGCACAUUAUAAUGGCAGAGUGGUUUUCAAUCCUUUGUUUCUAUGCUUACAGGAGACUGAGAUGACUAGUAUUAGAUCUGUACGUUGCUGCCUGUUAUUGCAGCACUGAAUUGCACCUUAGUGGAUAGUUAGGUUGGGAAACCAAGUCUGUUUGUUGGUUUUAUAACUGCAAUAGUAGGGCCCGAAUAUACAUACACAUGGAAAUUAAUCACUUUGGGAGGUUUAACAACUUGUAGAUAAGAAGAUAAAGAUGUACAAAAAAUAUAAAGUGAAAUGGGUGCAGGUAGGAUAGAAAAGUAGAGAUGCUUAUGGAAUCUUAGAAUUGGCAGGAAGAAGACAUUUCCUUGUGUAAUUUAUCUUCCCAUGUGAUAAUAAGUCUGUGCCACAGGGCAAGAGGGCACACCUUGAAUCAAAGUUUCUGUAUAUUGUUUCCCUAGACCUGUGCAGUCCAGUAUGGUAGCUGCUAGCUACAUGUAGCUAGUUAAAUAAAAUAUUAAAAUUCAAUUCCUCAGUUGCA